AGCGAACGCUGGCGGCGUGCCUAACACAUGCAAGUCGAACGUGAAAAGGGAAACCUGUGUAAAGUGGCGUAGGGGUGAGUAACGCGUAGGUAAUCUACCCCAGAAUCUGGAAUAACCUGCCGAAAGACGGGCUAAUACUGGAUAGAGCGAGGGAACUCGUAAGAGAGUUUUUCGGGAAAGGGAUCCCGCAAGGGCCUUCGUUCUGGGCUGAUCCUGCGUCUCAUUAGCUAGGUGGUAAGGGAACGGCUUACCAAGGCGAUGAUGAGUAGCUGGUCUGAGAGGAAGAUCAGCCAAAAUGGGAACGGAACAAGGGCCAGGAUCCUUACGGGAGGAGCAGGGGGGAAAUAUGCGAAAUGGGGGGCAAUCUGGAGCAAGCACGCCGCGGGGGGGGAGAAGGGCGUCGGGUUGUAAAGGUCUGUCGGAUGGGACGAAAAACUUCAUAGUGAAUAGCUAUGAGGACUGACGGUACCAACAAAGGAAGCACCGGCUAACUCCGUG
rnacentral:rRNA from 1 species